rnacentral:rRNA from 1 species
CCUACGGGGGACAGCAGUGGGGAAUAUUGGGCAAUGGGCGCAAGCCUGACCCAGCAACGCCGCGUGAAGGAAGAAGGCUUUCGGGUUGUAAACUUCUUUUCUCAGGGACGAAGCAAGUGACGGUACCUGAGGAAUAAGCCACGGCUAACUACGUGCCAGCAGCCGCGGUAAUACGGAGGGGGCAAGCGUUAUCCGGGUUUACUGGGUGUAAAGGGCGUGUAGGCGGGAAAGCAAGUCAGAUGUGAAAACCAUGGGCUCAACCUGUGGCCUGCAUUUGAAACUGUUUUUCUUGAGUACUGGAGAGGCAGACGGAAUUCCUAGUGUAGCGGUGAAAUGCGUAGAUAUUAGGAGGAACACCAGUGGCGAAGGCGGUCUGCUGGACAGCAACUGACGCUGAGGCGCGAAAGCGUGGGGAGCAAACAGGAUUAGAUACCCUUGUAGUC